rnacentral:rRNA from 1 species
AACGCUGGCGGCGUGCCUAACACAUGCAAGUCGCACGAGAAAGUGGAGCAAUCCAUGAGUACAGUGGCGCACGGGUGAGUAACACGUGACUUAGCUACCUCCGAGUGGGGAAUAACCUAGAGAAAUCGGGGCUAAUACCGCAUAACACUUACGAGUCAAAGCAGCAAUGCGCUUGGAGAGGAGGUCGCGGCUGAUUAGUUAGUUGGCGGGGUAAUGGCCCACCAAGACGAUGAUCUGUAUCCGGCCUGAGAGGGCGCACGGACACACUGGAACUGAAACACGGUCCAGACUCCUACGGGAGGCAGCAGUGGGGAAUUUUGCGCAAUGGGGGAAACCCUGACGCAGCAACGCCGCGUGGAGGAUGAAAUCCCUUGGGACGUAAACUCCUUUCGAUCGGGAGAUUAUGACGGUACCAAUAGAAGAAGCCCCGG